rnacentral:rRNA from 1 species
UACGAAGGGGGCUAGCGUUGCUCGGAAUCACUGGGCGGAAAGGGUGCGUAGGCGGGGUUUUAAGUCAGGGGUGAAAUCCUGGAGCUCAACUCCAGAACUGCCUUUGAUACUGAAGAUCUUGAGUCCGGGAGAGGUGAGUGGAACUGCGAGUGUAGAGGUGAAAUUCGUAGAUAUUCGCAAGAACACCAGUGGCGAAGGCGGCUCACUGGCCCGGUACUGACGCUGAGGCACGAAAGCGUGGGGAGCAAACAGG